UACAGAGGGGGCAAGCGUUAUUCGGAAUUAUUGGGCGUAAAGGGCGCGUAGGCGGCUUGGCAAGUCGGAUGUGAAAUCCCUCGGCUCAACCAAGGAAGUGCAUCCGAAACUGCCGAGCUUGAGUACUUAAGAGGAUCGCGGAAUUCCCGGUGUAGAGGUGAAAUUCGUAGAUAUCGGGAGGAACACCAGUGGCGAAGGCGGCGAUCUGGGAAGAUACUGACGCUGAGGUGCGAAAGCGUGGGGAGCAAACAGG
rnacentral:rRNA from 1 species